GAUAUACUCCCUCCGUCCCAAUUUUUUUGUCUUAGAUUUAUUUAGAUAUGAAUGUAUCUAGUCAAGUUUUAGUAUUUCGAUACAUCCAUUUCUAGACAAAGCUAAGACAAGAAUUUUGGGACGGAGGGAGUAUGUA
rnacentral:pre_miRNA from 1 species